rnacentral:rRNA from 1 species
CGUAACAAGGUUUCCGUAGGUGAACCUGCGGAAGGAUCAUUAACGAGUUUUGAAACGAGUUGUAGCUGGCCUUCCGAGGCAUGUGCACGCUCUGCUCAUCCACUCUACCCCUGUGCACUUACUGUAGGUUGGCGUGGGCUCCUUAACGGGAGCAUUCUGCCGGCCUAUGUAUACUACAAACACUUUAAAGUAUCAGAAUGUAAACGCGUCUAACGCAUCUAUAAUACAACUUUUAGCAACGGAUCUCUUGGCUCUCGCAUCGAUGAAGAACGCAGCGAAAUGCGAUAAGUAAUGUGAAUUGCAGAAUUCAGUGAAUCAUCGAAUCUUUGAACGCACCUUGCGCUCCUUGGUAUUCCGAGGAGCAUGCCUGUUUGAGUGUCAUGGAAUUCUCAACUUAUAAAUCCUUGUGAUCUAUAAGCUUGGACUUGGAGGCUUGCUGGCCCUUGUUGGUCGGCUCCUCUUGAAUGCAUUAGCUCGAUUCCGUACGGAUCGGCUCUCAGUGUGAUAAUUGUCUACGCUGUGACCGUGAAGUGUUUUGGCGAGCUUCUAACCGUCCAUUAGGACAAUUUUUUAACAUCUGACCUCAAAUCAGGUAGGACUACCCGCUGAACUUAAGCAUAUCAAUAAGCGGAGGAAAAGAAACUAACAAGGAUUCCCCUAGUAACUGCGAGUGAAGCGGGAAAAGCUCAAAUUUAAAAUCUGGCGGUCUUUGGCCGUCCGAGUUGUAGUCUGGAGAAGCGUCUUCCGCGUUGGACCGUGUACAAGUCUCUUGGAACAGAGCGUCAUAGAGGGUGAGAAUCCCGUCUUUGACACGGACUACCAAUGCUUUGUGAUGCGCUCUCAAAGAGUCGCGUUGUUUGGGAAUGCAGCGCAAAAUGGGAGGUGAAUUCCUUCUAAAGCUAAAUAUUGGCGAGAGACCGAUAGCGAACAAGUACCGUGAGGGAAAGAUGAAAAGCACUUUGGAAAGAGAGUUAAACAGUACGUGAAAUUGCUAAAAGGGAAACGCUUGAAGUCAGUCGCGUCGUCCGGAACUCAGCUUUGCUUCGGCUUAGUGCACUUUCCGGUUGACGGGCCAGCAUCGAUUUUGACCGCUGGAAAAGGGCUGGAGGAAUGUGGCACCUUCGGGUGUGUUAUAGCCUUCAGUCGCAUACAGCGGUUGGGAUCGAGGAACGCAGCGCGCCUUAUGGCUGGGGUUCGCCCACAUUCGCGCUUAGGAUGCUGGCAUAAUAGCUUUAAACGACCCGUCUUGAAACACGGACCAAGGAGUCUAACAUGCCUGCGAGUGUUUGGGUGGAAAACCCGAGCGCGUAAUGAAAGUGAAAGUUGAGACCUCUGUCGUGGAGGGCAUCGACGCCCGGACCUGACGUUUUCUGAAGGAUCCGCGGUAGAGCAUGUAUGUUGGGACCCGAAAGAUGGUGAACUAUGCCUGAAUAGGGUGAAGCCAGAGGAAACUCUGGUGGAGGCUCGUAGCGAUUCUGACGUGCAAAUCGAUCGUCAAAUUUGGGUAUAGGGGCGAAAGACUAAUCGAACCAUCUAGUAGCUGGUUCCUGCCGAAGUUUCCCUCAGGAUAGCAGAAACUCAUAUCAGAUUUAUGUGGUAAAGCGAAUGAUUAGAGGCCUUGGGGUUGAAACAACCUUAACCUAUUCUCAAACUUUAAAUAUGUAAGAACGAGCCGUCGCUUGA